GUGAGACUGAGUAGCAUGAUCUACAGUCACAGUAAUCUGCAAGGGAUGGAAACAAACAAAAGUGGACAAACUGUGGGUGAACAACUUAAUUUAUAAACCUCCUACAAGCUGAAAGUCAAGCAAUUCCUUCUGAUAGAAAUCUUCAUCUCAACAUUUAACAGUGACACUUAGGACUUCCCUGCUUUCUCAUCUGACUUUUAUUCCCCUCAGCUUUUCAGCUGGAAUCCUCUGUGGGAUACAAGCCAUAGCAGACACAGGGAUCCACAGACAUAAACCUCUGCCAGCCAUGAACUCCAAAGCUCAUGAUGAUUUCUGGGGAAAGCAUCAAGGACAGCGUAUGCGUACAGAAAUAAUAUACCAUUUGAGAAUGACUGUAGGAGAGGAAAAGUAACCUUUUUGGAUAGGAUGACAUUGAAAUUUCAUCUGCACAUUUUUCUGGUGGACUUCUAAAUAAAUAAUCCAUCUUCUGUCUUUCA
rnacentral:lncRNA from 1 species